UGAACGCUGGCGGCGUGCCUACACAUGCAAGUCGAGCGGUAACAGGUGUAGCAAUACAUGCUGACGAGCGGCGAACGGGUGAGUAAUGCUUCGGAAUCUGCCCAAUGGUGGGGAAUAACCAGCCGAAAGGUUGGCUAAUACCGCAUAAGUCCUACGGGGGAAAGCAGGGGAUCGCAAGACCUUGCGCCGAUGGAUGAGCCGAAGUCGGAUUAGCUAGUUGGUAGGGUAACGGCCUACCAAGGCGACGAUCCGUAGCUGGUCUGAGAGGACGACCAGCCACACUGGGACUGAGACACGGCCCAGACUCCUACGGGAGGCAGCAGUGGGGAAUAUUGGACAAUGGGGGAAACCCUGAUCCAGCGACGCCGCGUGUGUGAAGAAGGCCUGCGGGUUGUAAAGCACUUUUAGGGGGGAUGAAAAGCUCAGGGCUAACACCUCUGGGUCUUGACCUAACCCAAAGAAAAAGCACCGGCUAACUCUGUGCCAGCAGCCGCGGUAAUACAGAGGGUGCGAGCGUGAAUCGGAAUUACUGGACGUA
rnacentral:rRNA from 1 species